CUACGGCCAUACCACCCUGAACACGCCCGAUCUCGUCUGAUCUCGGAAGCUAAGCAGGGUCGGGCCUGGUUAGUACUUGGAUGGGAGAACUCCCGCAAUUCCUAACAGCCUAAAAGU
rfam:Anolis carolinensis unplaced genomic scaffold chrTn2475, whole genome shotgun sequence.